rnacentral:rRNA from 1 species
ACGGGAGGCAGCAGUGGGGAAUCUUGCGCAAUGGGCGAAAGCCUGACGCAGCAACGCCGCGUGGGGGAUGACGGCCUUCGGGUUGUAAACCUCUUUCGACAGGGACGAAGCUUUCGGGUGACGGUACCUGUAGAAGAAGCACCGGCUAACUACGUGCCAGCAGCCGCGGUAAUACGUAGGGUGCGAGCGUUGUCCGGAUUUAUUGGGCGUAAAGAGCUCGUAGGCGGUUUGUCACGUCGGCCGUGAAAACCUGCAGCUUAACUGUGGGCGUGCGGUCGAUACGGGCAGACUUGAGUUCGGCAGGGGAGACUGGAAUUCCUGGUGUAGCGGUGAAAUGCGCAGAUAUCAGGAGGAACACCGGUGGCGAAGGCGGGUCUCUGGGCCGAUACUGACGCUGAGGAGCGAAAGCAUGGGGAGCGAACAGGAUUAGAUACCCUGGUAGUCCAUGCCGUAAACGUUGGGCGCUAGGUGUGGGGAUGGGUUCCACCGUUUCCGUGCCGUAGCUAACGCAUUAAGCGCCCCGCCUGGGGAGUACGGCCGCAAGGCUAAAACUCAAAGGAAUUGAC